CCUGCUUGCAGUAGGUUCUGCUUCCACUUAACAGCCAAAGGAAAUCACCUGGACAAGAACAAGUACUGCACAGCUGGUCCUGCUGGUUCCAGGAAGGCUCAAAAAGAAAUGAAGGCAUCGGGAAGCUGUUGAUGUUGUGACCUGCUCCUGGGGCUCUCGUGCACACUGCACCUCUGCUCAGACAGGGCUCCGUUUCCUGAAGUGCUGGAAAAAUCAAUCGCAUGGAGGAGGGAGGAGACAGAGAGGUCCCUGGGAGGCUGCUCAGGUGUUCCAGAGCUGUGUCUCCUACCGCAUGGGUUCAGCCCACUCUUGGGAAGCGGCCUCUUUUGGGAAACGAGGGAACUUGCAAACGGCUUGUUAAAGGGAAGGAAUCUUUGGGAAGCGUGCUGGCUAGAUUGAGGACUGAGGAAAAGAUUGCAAACCAGGCUCAAAAAAAUGAUGGACAUUUGCAGAAGCUAAGGCACCAAGAACAUAGGGAAAUCUCUCUCUGCGCUAAUUGCUGUCAGCAUCCAUCAGGAUCGCCGAGAGAGCAACAUCCCAGCCAGAGGGGCCUUGGGCUGGAGCUCCAUCACCAGGAGACGGCCUCCCUGGGAAGGCCCGGGGACCGGACGCCGCUGCAUCUGCUGGGCGUCUCCACCGGGAGGUGCCAAGGAGGCGCACACAGCCCCAGCCUGGGGGGCCAGCAGGCCCACCGACCCUACCUGGGAGCCCCUGGCUCUGGGGGAGCCCUGAGCAACCACGUGGGGGGCCCGGGGCGGCUGGGCUACGGGGCACCGGCUUCCAUCAGCCUCUUAGACCAGUCCCCGUUUAUCUCCUUUAGAUCUCAGGCCAGCCCCGAGAGGUUCUGUCAAAGGGGUUCUGCUGGAUUCAAAUAGAAAGGUUUGCAACACGGACCCCUAGUCCAACCCUCACCUUUCACAGGUGAACAGACACAGCCCUGAGGCGGGGUGGGGGUGUGUGAGGAGGGAGGCACCCCAGCCAGGGUCACACCUGGGAUGUGAGGACCCCGGGUCUCCCGAGAGUGUUUCUGUUCUGUUUGUGUUUUGGAUUUCUCACACCCCAGGCCCGGGUCAUAUUCCUAAACUUGUGCAAGCGCCCACUCCCUGGGUGUCAGUCUCAGAGAGGGCGCAGGAGGGAGGCUGGGGGAGGGAACCAGCCUCCCCAGGGGCAGGGCAGCACGCGCUUGCAGGGCGACGUCCUUGGGAACGUGACAUGUAUAGUUAUUUAGUGAGUAUUUACCAAUCGCACAUCAGGUGCUGAGGGUACAGGACAGGACGAAACGAGGCGCAGGUCCUGCUCCGCGAGGGCUCG
rnacentral:lncRNA from 12 species